rnacentral:lncRNA from 1 species
AUCCUCUUCCUCAUCACCAAAGAAGAAAGUCUCUUGGUCCAGGUUCUCAGACUCAUCGUAGGAGAAGCUGUCAUUGUCCAGCUCCUCAUCAAACUCAUCCUGCUGCCACUCGGGCACAUCAUCCUCAUCGUCUUCCUCCUCCUCUUCUGCCUCUGGCCCUGAGGAGGCCUGGGGCCUAGGGAGAGCCACCACACUCAGCCCAGAGGAGGCUGCCAUGUCCCACUGCCUCCUCCAUGGCUCUGCCCACCCCACUUACUGACUGCCAGGCAUGUUGGGUCCUUUUGCCUCCCAGGCCUCUACUGAUGGACUCUGAAGACCAACCCGGAAAUCCUGGUGAGCAGACAGAAGGAUUUGAGAAGGAGGUAGAGGGCAUGGGGCCUUUGGACCCAGCAUUCCUUCCACUGAUGCUCUGGGAGGGCCAAGCUCCUGCUAGGACUGCUCCCCUCCCAGCACAGCACUUCAUGAAACACUGCCUUUGUGAGUUCACCCACAGAUGGUCUCCAGGGAUACGGGGUACCAGGUGAGGCACACGACCCUGUGCUUAAAGAGCUUACAGAAUCUAUGUCUUUUCUGCCCAUGUGACUUACCAGUCAGUAAGCAACCUGAGGACAGGACUCACAGUUUAGACUCAGCAUCAGUGCAUUAGAGCUGGAGAGAGCCUGGGAGAGCCCUUGCUCCAGUGACCCCAAUCCCCUGAUGCCCACUCUUAGGAUUUCAAAUCCCUAUCUGGGAAGUACAGUCUGGAAAAGUUCCCCAAGUGAUUCUGAUAGGCACCUGACCAAAUACCCUUGAUGUGGGCUAGCCAACCCCUUUAUUUUGUAGGAAUCCCCAGGAGGUGAAGUGAUAGGGUCCAGCAGCAUCAGGCAGGUUGGCCCAAAAGCCGGGAUGUGCGCCCAGGUCUAACAUCCAUUCACCCGCUUUGCUGCCUUUCCUUCUGGACUCGCCCCAGGGCAGGGGCUGUGCUGGGACAGGAGGACCUCAACUCCCGCAGAAUGCAGGAGCAGAAGGGGUCUGGGCCGGGCAGUACCUGGGCAGAAUGCUGCAGGAUGGCAAGCAGCCUCUCCUGGAUCCGCCGGAGCAGCUCCAUGCCCGUGCUGAGGCAGUCGGCCCGCAGGAGGCGCAGGGAGGAGGCCAGGUCUCUGCACCGCAGCAGGGUUUCCUCUGCAGAGGGGGCAGGCACAGAGGCUCCCUCCCUUCUCAUUCUCAUCCAUUCCUUCCUCCAACAAACACCUAUGGAACGUCUACCAAGCACCAGGUGCAGCUCUAGACAUUCUCAUGAAGCUCCCUAGGGGAGCAGGGUAAAGACCAGAAACCAAGAAACAUCCACGAACAUCUGCGCCCUUGGGCACCUUACAAUGUAGGCUUUCGACCUGAGCUUUAACAGCCAGGCAGUGAGAAGGCCAUGAAGAAUGAAGAGGAAGAGGAGAGAGGGAAGGUAAGGGUGCCGCUUGACCUGUCUGGGAGGGGCCGGGCUGUGCAACAGAGGGGAGGAGGCAGGAGGAGGGCCUGGCUGGCAGGGGUGGCUCACCCAGGAGGAUCUGCAGGGCAUUGGUGUGCAGCUCCAGGUUCUCUGUCUGCUGCUCCACCACAUCCAUGUACUCUGCGUCCUGGCUGUAGAAGCUGUACACGCAGGCGUAGGCCAGCACCUGCAGGGGCUCCCAUCAGCUCUCCCGCCUGCCCUCUCCUCAUUCCCUUCACCCAGGCAAGUCCGAUGAAAGCAGCCAAGCCCCCCAGACCCAUUUGGCACACCCCUCCCCUGCUCUCUUCCCCCACCCGCUACCACCUUCCGAGCCUGCUCCAGUCCCUGGCAGGCAUCAUUGAGGAAGGUGAAGGAUCUGGGCGGGGGCACUUCAUGGAUGGCAGACACCCGGUUCCGCAAGUUCACAGCAAACUCCUGUGUGGAGGAAGGUGUAUCAGUACCAGCACAGGUGGCGCAGCACCACCUGCCCGGUCAGACCUUCAGCCCACCCCCCUCCACCCCACCACCCCAACCUGCUUCUGCAGGCAUCUACCCGCUGUUUCCUCCCGACUCACCCGCGCCUGGUGAUGGAAAGUGCACCUCUCAUUAUAGUCCUGAAACCGCUUCUCCUGGCGAGCUGCCUU